UACGUAGGGGGCAAGCGUUAUCCGGAAUUAUUGGGCGUAAAGCGCGCGUAGGCGGUUUUUUAAGUCUGAUGUGAAAGCCCACGGCUCAACCGGGGAGGGUCAUUGGAAACUGGAAAACUUGAGUGCGGAAGAGGAAAGUGGAAUUCCAGGUGUAGCGGUGAAAUGCGCAGAGAUCUGGAGGAACACCGGUGGCGAAGGCGGUGUUCUGGUCUGUCACUGACGCUGAUGUGCGAAAGCGUGGGGAUCAAACAGG
rnacentral:rRNA from 1 species